rnacentral:lncRNA from 1 species
CAGCAGACUUGCAUCUGGGAAGCGUACAAGCUUGAACUUCAAGAUGAAGGGAAAAAACUUUGAAGACUGGAGGAGAGCGUCUGAUUUUCUCAAGGGGCUGAGUCCCAGGGGACAGAAUCUGGACAUGUUGCCACAUUGUGGUUUUCCUCCUUGAUCCUCUAUUUGCUUUCUUCAGGAGAAGAGAUGUGUGAAAACUGUGCCCCAUCUAAGAAGCACCAGCAGCCUAUUAGACAACUUGUAAAACCUGGGAUAUACUGAUUAUGCCCACUAUAAAACAUCUCACCAUCAUCACCCAAAACAAUUAGCAGGGUUCCCCAGGGCUUUGUGUUUUUCAGGUUCUUCACACCAUCCCAAAUUCUUUCACUGAGUCAACACUUGUAUGAGAAAGGACAUGAUUUAUUAUUUCCCUGUUUUCUAAGUUUACUCAUGUAGUGAAGAACUUCCUACAGACAGAGAAACACAGUAGGCACUAUUGAGAAAGGAGGAAGGGCAAGCAUUGCUAAUCACCUACUGUAUGUCAGGGGCUUUGCUUUUGUUCUCCCUUCAGUUAAAAUAUAAGUGAGCAAGCAAAGAGACCUAUGG